UGGGGAAUAUUGGACAAUGGGCGAAAGCCUGAUCCAGCCAUGCCGCGUCUGUGAAGAAGGUCUUCGGAUUGUAAAGCACUUUAAGUUGGGAGGAAGGGCAGUAAGUUAAUACCUUGCUGUUUUGACGUUACCGACAGAAUAAGCACCGGCUAACUCUGUGCCAGCAGCCGCGGUAAUACAGAGGGUGCAAGCGUUAAUCGGAAUUACUGGGCGUAAAGCGCGCGUAGGUGGUUUGUUAAGUUGGAUGUGAAAGCCCCGGGCUCAACCUGGGAACUGCAUCCAAAACUGGCAAGCUAGAGUACGGUAGAGGGUGGUGGAAUUUCCUGUGUAGCGGUGAAAUGCGUAGAUAUAGGAAGGAACACCAGUGGCGAAGGCGACCACCUGGACUGAUACUGACACUGAGGUGCGAAAGCGUGGGGAGCAAACAGGAUUAGAUACCCGCGUAGUCCCUGAGCGGGCUGGCAAGGCGCAU
rnacentral:rRNA from 1 species